rnacentral:lncRNA from 1 species
ACUGAACGCCACGCCAAGAGGUAACUUGGUAUUUAUUUGCAUUUUCCUUUAAGCAUAUUUAUUUUUCUUAACUGCAUUAGUAGUUGCAUCUUUAUUGUUUAUGCAUUAGAAAAUAAAAUAAAUAUGUAUUGCAUUGCAUUUAGAAAACUACUAAGCCCCAUGUAUUUAAUAUGUGAUGCAAUAGCUUACAUACUUAUCUACUGUGGUGGCACAAAAAUAAGUUUUAGCAUAUUUAUUUUUGUCUGCAUACUAUAAAUAUGAAAAGUAUAAAAAAAUAUAUUGAUCCUGCUAAAAGAUAAAUGGGUAUAAGAAAGUUCUAGACUCUCGAAGCUUCGAGGUUUAUUACAAACGCUUAAUCAGUUCCACAAGCUUUGUUGUCUAUUUGAGCUUCAUCGACCUCAAAGGAUCAAGAAGAACUAAUAGGCAGAAGGACGUCCUGUGCCCUAUCGGAGUACUAUUCGUACCAGGCAAGUGUUGUUUCUCACAGCAAGUACCUACGAUACUCUAGGAGGAUCAGUUUGUCUUCGCUGCCCGCCAGCAAUCUCAACAGACUAUGUCAACAUCCAGCUUGGGGGAGAGCAACCCCGUACAUCGAGCUAAGUAUCCCUUACUCACUUAUCUUUUGUUCCUGGAAGUACCACCCACGUAUACGCACUACAUUUUGUGUUGUUUCUAUCCUGGAGACACGCACCUAUGCUGCUCCUAACUUAGGAGUACGCAUUUCUUCAUUCACCCACACACAUUCCACGUCCACUUAGAAAAUGUUCUACUCCUACACUGGGAGAAGACACCCAAAAAUAUUCAUUGUCUUAUUCUACUUAUCCAAUAAAGCCCUAAUUAUUCCAGUUGAUACUCCCUACUGUUGUCAUUGAAUUAAAAGGGAUGGCUGAUCUCUAAAAAAGAGAGAGAAAAAAGAGAGAAAAAGAAAGAAAGAGGACAAAAUUCUCAAUGCAAAAGAAAAAAAGAUAGCCAAAUCCUUGUUCUCAGAUUAGGGAGGUAUGUUAUCCCCAAGGAGCAAAUAUAGAAUUAGAUAUUCACCAUCAGUUAUCACCCCUCAUAAACCCUUUCAUUCUUAUCACUUCAUUUCACUUCACUCACAUGCACAUGUGACUUGAUUGUAUAAUUAGUUUCUCUAGAUCCAUGGUUAAACUAUGCAAUACAUGCAAGUAGGUUUGAAUUAUCUUUCCCACCUAUCAGCUCCACAUAAGACAAUUAGAAGUAGGGUGAGAGAGAUAAGGCAACUAUGUCAUAGUGAUACAAAUACCACAUAUUCUGAGAGCAUAGAGAAGGCAUACUCACUUGCCUUAGAGAGGAUACAAAAUACCACAUAUGAGAGACUGUAAAGUGUCAUACAAGGAAACUCUAAGUUUUAUUUGAAAAUCUUGCAAAACUCUGGAAUAAUAGUUGAUCAAAGAGCGGGUAGCAUAGUGCUCGACUUGACUGUUCAGUCUUUCAACUUCCCAAGACCUAAGUGAUAGCUAUAAGCCCCAUAGUGAAAGGAAAAAUAGGUGAGUCUUGAGUCAGAAUAGUUCACUCUAAUCCGUAGGGGAGUCCUUGUUUGAAUACUUGUGUACUUGU